CGAGGAAAAGAAAUCAACCGAGAUUCCCCCAGUAGCGGCGAGCGAACGGGGAGCAGCCCAGAGUCUGAAUCAGCUUGUGUGUUAGUGGAACGGUCUGGAAAGUCCGACGGUACAGGGUGAUAGUCCCGUACACCAAAAUGCACAGGCUGUGAACUCGAAGAGUAGGGCGGGACACGUGGUAUCCUGUCUGAAUAUGGGGGGACCAUCCUCCAAGGCUAAAUACUCCUGACUGACCGAUAGUGAACCAGUACCGUGAGGGAAAGGCGAAAAGAACCCCGGCGAGGGGAGUGAAAAAGAACCUGAAACCGUGUACGUACAAGCAGUGGGAGCACCUUCGGGUGUGACUGCGUACCUUUUGUAUAAUGGGUCAGCGACUUAUAUUCUGUAGCAAGGUUAACCGUAUAGGGGAGCCGCAGGGAAACCGAGUCUUAACUGGGCGUUAAGUUGCAGGGUAUAGACCCGAAACCCGGUGAUCUAGCCAUGGGCAGGUUGAAGGUUGGGUAACACUAACUGGAGGACCGAACCGACUAAUGUUGAAAAAUUAGCGGAUGACUUGUGGCUGGGGGUGAAAGGCCAAUCAAACCGGGAGAUAGCUGGUUCUCCCCGAAAGCUAUUUAGGUAGCGCCUCGUGAAUUCAUCUUCGGGGGUAGAGCACUGUUUCGGCUAGGGGGUCAUCCCGACUUACCAACCCGAUGCAAACUACGAAUACCGAAGAAUGUUAUCACGGGAGACACACGGCGGGUGCUAACGUCCGUCGUGAAGAGGGAAACAACCCAGACCGCCAGCUAAGGUCCCAAAGUCAUGGUUAAGUGGGAAACGAUGUGGGAAGGCACAGACAGCCAGGAUGUUGGCUUAGAAGCAGCCAUCAUUUAAAGAAAGCGUAAUAGCUCACUGGUCGAGUCGGCCUGCGCGGAAGAUGUAACGGGGCUAAACCAUGCACCGAAGCUGCGGCAGCGACACUAUGUGUUGUUGGGUAGGGGAGCGUUCUGUAAGCCUGCGAAGGUGACCUGUGAGGGUUGCUGGAGGUAUCAGAAGUGCGAAUGCUGACAUAAGUAACGAUAAAGCGGGUGAAAAGCCCGCUCGCCGGAAGACCAAGGGUUCCUGUCCAACGUUAAUCGGGGCAGGGUGAGUCGACCCCUAAGGCGAGGCCGAAAGGCGUAGUCGAUGGGAAACAGGUUAAUAUUCCUGUACUUGGUGUUACUGCGAAGGGGGGACGGAGAAGGCUAUGUUAGCCGGGCGACGGUUGUCCCGGUUUAAGCAUGUAGGCUGGUUAUCCAGGCAAAUCCGGAUAAUCAAGGCUGAGGUGUGAUGACGAGGCACUACGGUGCUGAAGUAACAAAUGCCCUGCUUCCAGGAAAAGCCUCUAAGCAUCAGGUAACAUCAAAUCGUACCCCAAACCGACACAGGUGGUCAGGUAGAGAAUACCAAGGCGCUUGAGAGAACUCGGGUGAAGGAACUAGGCAAAAUGGUGCCGUAACUUCGGGAGAAGGCACGCUGGUGUGUAGGUGAAGUCCCUGCGGAUGGAGCUGAGACCAGUCGAAGAUACCAGCUGGCUGCAACUGUUUAUUAAAAACACAGCACUGUGCAAACACGAAAGUGGACGUAUACGGUGUGACGCCUGCCCGGUGCCGGAAGGUUAAUUGAUGGGGUUAUCCGUAAGGAGAAGCUCUUGAUCGAAGCCCCGGUAAACGGCGGCCGUAACUAUAACGGUCCUAAGGUAGCGAAAUUCCUUGUCGGGUAAGUUCCGACCUGCACGAAUGGCGUAAUGAUGGCCAGGCUGUCUCCACCCGAGACUCAGUGAAAUUGAACUCGCUGUGAAGAUGCAGUGUACCCGCGGCAAGACGGAAAGACCCCGUGAACCUUUACUAUAGCUUGACACUGAACAUUGAGCCUUGAUGUGUAGGAUAGGUGGGAGGCUUUGAAGCGUGGACGCCAGUCUGCGUGGAGCCAACCUUGAAAUACCACCCUUUAAUGUUUGAUGUUCUAACGUUGGCCCCUGACCGGGGUUGCGGACAGUGUCUGGUGGGUAGUUUGACUGGGGCGGUCUCCUCCCAAAGCGUAACGGAGGAGCACGAAGGUUAGCUAAUCCUGGUCGGACAUCAGGAGGUUAGUGCAAUGGCAUAAGCUAGCUUGACUGCGAGCGUGACGGCGCGAGCAGGUGCGAAAGCAGGUCAUAGUGAUCCGGUGGUUCUGAAUGGAAGGGCCAUCGCUCAACGGAUAAAAGGUACUCCGGGGAUAACAGGCUGAUACCGCCCAAGAGUUCAUAUCGACGGCGGUGUUUGGCACCUCGAUGUCGGCUCAUCACAUCCUGGGGCUGAAGUAGGUCCCAAGGGUAUGGCUGUUCGCCAUUUAAAGUGGUACGCGAGCUGGGUUUAGAACGUCGUGAGACAGUUCGGUCCCUAUCUGCCGUGGGCGCUGGAGAAUUGAGGGGGGCUGCUCCUAGUACGAGAGGACCGGAGUGGACGCAUCACUGGUGUUCGGGUUGUCAUGCCAAUGGCACUGCCCGGUAGCUAAAUGCGGAAGAGAUAAGUGCUGAAAGCAUCUAAGCACGAAACUUGCCCCGAGAUGAGUUCUCCCUGAGACUUUAAGUCUCCUGAAGGAACGUU
rnacentral:rRNA from 1 species